rnacentral:rRNA from 1 species
AGCAGCCGCGGUAAUUCCAGCUCCAAUAGCGUAUAUUAAAGUUGUUGCAGUUAAAAAGCUCGUAGUUGAAUUUCGGGAUUGGCGCAUCGGUCGUGCCUCACGGGGUAUGAACUGGUGCAGUCAAUUUCUCACCUUCUGGAGAACCGCGAUGUCCUUAAUUGGAUGCCGCGGGGAACCAGGACCUUUACUUUGAAAAAUUGAGUGUUUAAAGCAGGCAUUUUUGCUUGAAUACAUUAGCAUGGAAUAAUAAAAUAGGACGGCAUGGUUCUAUUUUGUUGGUUUCUAGGACCACCGUAAUGGUUAAUAGGGAUAGUUGGGGCAUUAGUAUUCAAUUGUCAGAGGUGAAAUUCUUGGAUUUAUUGAAGACUAACUACUGCGAAAGCAAUUUGCCAAGGAUGUUUUCAUUAAUACAAGAACGAAAGUUAGGGGAUCGAAGACGAUCAGAUACCGUCGUAGUCUUAACCAUAAACUAUAGCCGACUAGGAAUCAGACGAUGUUAAUUUUAUG